CUGACCAAGAAAAGCCGCUAAGCAUCAGUUUGUAAUAACCCGUACCGCAAACCGACACAGGUGACCGGGAAGAAUAUUCUAAAGGCGCUUGAGUGAAUCACGGUUUAAGGAACUCGGCAAAUUUGAUCCUGUAACUUAGGGAGAAGGAUGCCCCGUGAGGGGCCGCAGAGAAUAGGUCCAGGCGACUGUUUUAACAAAAACACAGGGCUCUGCUAAGUCGUGAGACGAAGAAUAGGGUCUGACACCUGCCCGGUGCUGGAAGGUUAAGGGGGGAUGUUAGGGCAACCGAAGCAUUGAACCGAAGCCCCAGUAAACGGCGGCCGUAACUAUAACGGUCCUAAGGUAGCGAAAUUCCUUGUCGGGUAAGUUCCGACCUGCACGAAUGGUGUAACGAUCUGGACACUGUCUCAACCGUGAGCUCAGUGAAAUUGUAGUACCGGUGAAGAUGCCGGUUACCCGCUACGGGACGAAAAGACCCC
rnacentral:rRNA from 1 species